rnacentral:rRNA from 1 species
ACAUGCAAGUCGAGCGAACGGACGAGAAGCUUGCUUCUCUGAUGUUAGCGGCGGACGGGUGAGUAACACGUGGAUAACCUACCUAUAAGACUGGGAUAACUUCGGGAAACCGGAGCUAAUACCGGAUAAUAUUUUGAACCGCAUGGUUCAAAAGUGAAAGACGGUCUUGCUGUCACUUAUAGAUGGAUCCGCGCUGCAUUAGCUAGUUGGUAAGGUAACGGCUUACCAAGGCAACGAUGCAUAGCCGACCUGAGA